rnacentral:rRNA from 1 species
UUCUGGUUGAUCCCGCCGGACCUGACUGCUAUCGGAUUGAUACUAAGCCAUGCGAGUCAUUGUAGCAAUACAAGGCAUACGGCUCAGUAACGCGUAGUCAACCUAACCUAUGGACGGGAAUAACCUCGGGAAACUGAGAAUAAUGCCCGAUAGAACAUUAUACCUGGAAUGGUUUAUGUUCCAAAUGAUUUAUCGCCGUAGGAUGGGACUGCGGCCUAUCAGUUUGUUGGUGAGGUAAUGGCCCACCAAGACUAUUACAGGUACGGGCUCUGAGAGGAGUAGCCCGGAGAUGGGUACUGAGACACGGACCCAGGCCCUAUGGGGCGCAGCAGGCGAGAAAACUUUGCAAUGUGCGAAAGCACGACAAGGUUAAUCCGAGUGAUUUCUGCUAAAGAAAUCUUUUGUUAGUCCUAGAAACACUAACGAAUAAGGGGUGGGCAAGUUCUGGUGUCAGCCGCCGCGGUAAAACCAGCACCUCAAGUGGUCAGGAUGAUUAUUGGGCCUAAAGCAUCCGUAGCCGGCUCUGUAAGUUUUCGGUUAAAUCUGUACGCUUAACGUACAGGCCGCCGGGAAUACUGCAAAGCUAGGGAGUGGGAGAAGUCGACGGUACUCGGUAGGAAGUGGUAAAAUGCUUUGAUCUAUCGAUGACCACCUGUGGCGAAGGCGGUCUACUAGAACACGUCCGACGGUGAAGGAUGAAAGCUGGGGGAGCAAACCGGAUUAGAUACCCGGGUAGUCCCAGCUGUAAACUAUGCAAACUCAGUGAUGCAUUGGCUUGUGGCCAAUGCAGUGCUGCAGGGAAGCCGUUAAGUUUGCCGCCUGGGAAGUACGUACGCAAGUAUGAAACUUAAAGGAAUUGGCGGGGGAGCACCACAAGGGGUGAAGCCUGCGGUUCAAUUGGAGUCAACGCCGGA